UAAAGAGGCAACAUCCCUUUCCAGCCUUUCCGGAGGCAGAGACCUUGUCCUGCGCUAGGAGGGGCUACCCAGGAAAGGCGAGUCCUAGUUCCUGGAGAAGCUUCUUUCCAAGGUGGCCACCGAGGCAGAGGAAGUGACUGGUGUGGCGACGGGGGGCGCGUUCCCACUGUGGGGGCCUGCAGCUGCAGGACAACCUCCCGGAGACCAGGACAACUGCAAGUAGCCAGGAGUUCACAGUCCAGGGGAUAUAAACUGUUUUGGACUGCUUGGUUGCCAUAGUGAUUAACAGAAGCAGACCAGUGUGGCCCUGAGCACACACUGACUGCACUCCUGAGGGGUGUAGCCUGUGCCUCAUGUCCCUAACUCCCAAUCCCUGUGUGCAUGCGCGCGCUCGCCCUAUGUGUGUGCUAUGUAUGUACUACGUGUGUUAUGUGGGGGAGGGGGAGUGAGUGCGGGUGCACACAUGCAGUGGAGCUCCUGUGGAAGUCAGAGGACAACCUCGGGUUUGAUCUAUUUGUUCUCCCUACUUACCCAGAAUAGCUGAUCCCCUACCUUUCCAGGGAUUCUCUCCCGUCUCGCUUUAAGAGCACUGGGAUGGUCCUGAGCUACAUCCGGAUGGCUUUAUGUGGGUUUUGGUGAUUUGAACUCAGGUCUUCAGACUUGCCCAGCAAGCAUUUUUACCCAGUGAGCUGUCCCGUUUUCCCCCAACCCCCAAUCCCCAAUCCUUGGAUCCUAAAGACCUCUGUUCAGGAGCACUGCUGGACCAAAGGCUUGAUUGGUGAAUACCUCCUCAGGUGGGAAGCAAUCUUUGGGACUCAGGAGUCAGCCUGGGACAAAGCCAGCUUCUCCAGGAGCUUCUAGAAGCUCUAGCAUCUGAAGUGUGUUUUCAGACAAGAGUGGAAAAGGUGGCAAUUCCAGAUGUGUUCUUCCAAGGAUCAGAAAUGAUCUACUAAAGUACUCAGCUAGGCAAACACCAGGUGCUCAGCAAACAUCAGGCUUGGUGCGGACGGCCCUUGAAUACUUUUCAACCACUUCCUGUGCAUCUUUGCUUCACCUUAUACUGCCGUUCUCUCCAGCCCUCCCUGAGGAGGUUCAGUAAGUAGAAAACUGGUUGUGUCUUGUGUUGUUAAGACAGUCUCUCCCCUCUCCUUCAUUUGCCGCAUAGAAUUCUUUCAUCCAGAUUUAUUUUGCUGCAUUGAUGAUGUGUGUUUUUCCUAUAAAUUAA